AGAGUUUGAUUAUGGCUCAGGAUGAACGCUAGCUACAGGCUUAACACAUGCAAGUCGAGGGGCAGCAUGGUCUUAGCUUGCUAAGGCUGAUGGCGACCGGCGCACGGGUGAGUAACGCGUAUCCAACCUUCCCCUUAGGUAGGGCAUAGCCCGGCGAAAGUCGGAUUAACACCCUAUGUUUUCCGUUGCGGGCAUCUAAUAUGGAACAAAGAUUUAUCGCUAAGGGAUGGGGAUGCGUCUGAUUAGGUAGUAGGCGGGGUAACGGCCCACCUAGCCUUCGAUCAGUAGGGUUCUGAGAGGAACGGUCCCCCACAUUGGAACUGAGACACGGUCCAAACUCCUACGGGAGGCAGCAGUGAGGAAUAUUGGUCAAUGGCCGAGAGGCUGAACCAGCCAAGUAGCGUGCAGGACGACGGCCCUAUGGGUUGUAAACUGUCUUUUAUGGCGGGGAUAAAGUCGCCCACGUGUGGGUGUUUGCAGGUACCGCAUGAAUAAGGACCGGCUAAUUCCGUGCCAGCCGCCGC
rnacentral:rRNA from 1 species